rnacentral:rRNA from 1 species
ACGAACGCUGGCGGCAUGCCUAACACAUGCAAGUCGAACGAGACCUUCGGGUCUAGUGGCGCACGGGUGCGUAACGCGUGGGAACCUGCCCUUAGGUUCGGAAUAACUCCCCGAAAGGGGUGCUAAUACCGGAUAAUGUCUUCGGACCAAAGAUUUAUCGCCUUUGGAUGGGCCCGCGUUGGAUUAGCUAGUUGGUAGGGUAAAAGCCUACCAAGGCGACGAUACAUAGCUGGUCUGAGAGGAUGAUCAGCCACACUGGGACUGAGACACGGCCCAGACUCCUACGGGAGGCAGCAGUGGGGAAUAUUGGACAAUGGGCGAAAGCCUGAUCCAGCAAUGCCGCGUGAGUGAUGAAGGCCUUAGGGUUGUAAAGAUCUUUUACCCGGGAUGAUAAUGACAGUACCGGGAGAAUAAGCUCCGGCUAACUCCGUG